rnacentral:rRNA from 1 species
CAUGAAGCUGGAAUCGCUAGUAAUCGCGGAUCAGAAUGCCGCGGUGAAUACGUUCCCGGGUCUUGUACACACCGCCCGUCACACCAUGGGAGUCGGAAAUGCCCGAAGUCUGUGACCCAACCUCAGGGAGGGAGCAGCCGAAGGCAGGUCGGAUGACUGGGGUGAAGUCGUAACAAGGUAAC